rnacentral:misc_RNA from 1 species
GGCGAAUAUACCGAAAGGCUACGCGGUGGUGGUCGUGCUCUUCAUCUGCAUCUAUGUUGCUGGAUUUGCGUGGUCGUGGGGGCCGCUGGGGUGGCUGAUUCCUAGCGAGAUUUUCCCGCUGGAGAUCAGGUCCGCCGGGCAGAGCAUCAAUGUUUCCGUGAACAUGCUCUUCACCUUUGUCAUCGCGCAGGCCUUCCUUGUUAUGCU